CUUGGUCAACGGCAAGCGGGAGAACCUGGCCGGGCUUCCGGGUGACGCGGUGUCGCUCGAAGUCUGCGAUAUACGCGAUUUCGCACGUAUGCGGGAGCUGCUCGGUG
rnacentral:misc_RNA from 1 species